UCAGAAUAUCGCAGCUCAGAAGGUCUGUGGUGCAUUUCUUUGGGGACUUCAUUAGUGGAAGAUACCCUGACUCAGUAUGUGAGGUGCUUUUGAUGCAUCAUUCAUACACACGAUAAUCAACUCUGCAUCACGCGGUGGGGGUGGGGAGAUAUUUUGUGUAGCAAUUUAUAACGGCAACCCAAACAGCGCCCUAACAUUUAAAGGCAUUAUUUGCAUACGUAUAACAUUAACUAAAGAUUUUCAAGCAAUAAACUCCUUGUAUCGGCUCAUACCCACAUGACCAAUUAGUUUUUCCUCCGUAGAUAAUUCGACCUGCAAAUUACCCAGGAUGUUUUGCUCUGAGUUUUGCUCUGACCCGUGCCUGAAUCCAGAGAAAAGUCAGGGUAAGUGCAGGAGCCCGAAUGGCAGCAGUGUGCGGGGUGAUGAGCAGCCAGAGGGGGUGCUUCAAAGGAAGUAAAAACCAGUCAGAUUGAGAAUAACCGAGGAAUGAACUGAGCUGCUUGUUGCAUGGUGCCUCUCCACGAUGUUUUUGCCUUUCCCAAGGAACUACAAUGGAUUUGAGGCAAAGCAGAUAAAGCCCGUAAGUUAGGCUGCUCAUCCCAGGGGGAGUCUCACAGAUUUAGCAAGAAAGAAAAGUCUCAAUGAGUAAACGAUGGAAUGGGAAUUUUACCUUUUUUGGAAGACGAUAUUUGGCCCUAAGGCAGGCAAAGAUUAUCCAUUCUCUACGCUUCUUAUUUAUACCUUCAGGAACUGACAGCUCUUCUAAAAGCAGACUGACGGUUUUUAGACAGUCUGAGGUUUAAAAUUAGGCACUGGAACUAAUAGGCUGUUAUUGUCUCAUAAUUAUAUUUGACAUGAUGCUUUUAACUCUUCUGUGAAACAUCAUCCUGCAUCAAAUGGAGCCGGGAUGCCGUAGCAUUGUGCUGUGCAGGAGCAGACAGCAGCCAUGCCAUGCCACAGGGGUACCAAGGCUCUUUCCAUCUCCCUCUGGACAAUACACAGAGGCCACAGUUCAAGAGAAAAAGCCCAGCUGGCUGUGCCAGAGCGAUAUCACCAAAAAGAUGUUACCCAACAAAGCUCGAGGAUGAGACGACUGAGUGAAAGCUUCGCAAAAACAGAGACUGAAAGAUUUGUAAAUGAAUCCGAAAUGAGACAAGCACGUCAAAAAACCAUCCAGCAACAGUACAACAAAUCUGAAAAUUCAACGCUAUGUCACAAGUGAUGGCAGCUUCUUGGAAGGUGUUUCCACGAAGUGGGUAUGCCAUAGGCCCUGUUCUCUGCGUGCAGCUCCUACCUAGAGCUGGGAUGCUUUGGUGCAGGAGAGGGAGAGGAAAUUCUUGUGCACACGGCAAGAGCGUGAGCCAUUAAUUUAUAGCAGCAAGGCUCUUUGUGACCUUUAAAUAUUGCCUAUUAGAAAAUGGCACCUUGUUAUGCAGCUGUAAGAAGCUGGAGUAAAUGGUUUUCACUGUAAAAAGCAAAACAAAUAGACAAGUCCAAAGCUGUCCUACAGCUAACACGCAUUUGAGUUCUCUCCUUGGUUCAAAUCCUUCUCCGUGGAGUAAAACAGCUCAGUGAAUAAAAACAUGCCCCUCCUUCCUAAUUCA
rnacentral:lncRNA from 1 species